ACAGCCACAUCACAUUGAAACACUGGUUUCUGUACAAUCACUGAAAUUAAGCAACAUUGAGCCUGGUCAGUACCUAAAUGGGUGACUGCUUGGGAAUACCAGGUGCUGAA